rnacentral:rRNA from 1 species
AUUGAACGCUAGCGGGAUGCUUUACACAUGCAAGUCGAACGGAGUGGCGGACGGGUGAGUAAUAUAUCGGAACGUGCCCAGUAGCGGGGGAUAACUACUCGAAAGAGUGGCUAAUACGGCAUACUAUUGGAGCGGCCGAUAUCUGAGUAGCUAGUUGGUGGGGUAAAGGCUCACCAAGGCAACGAUCCGUAGCUGGUUUGAGAGGCCGAACAGCCACACUGGGACUGAGACACGGCCCUGCCUCCUACGGGAGGCAGCAGUGGGGAAUUUUGGACAAUGGGGGAAACCCUGAUCCAGCCAUCCCGCGUCUAUGAUGAAGGCCUUCGGGUUGUAAAGUACUUUUGGCAUAGCAGCUUUCUCUUCCCCCUAAGCACCGGCUAACUACGUGCCAGCAGCCGCGGUAAUUC